GAUGAACGCUGGCGGCGUGCCUAAUACAUGCAAGUCGAGCGAACAGAUGAGGAGCUUGCUCCUCUGACGUUAGCGGCGGACGGGUGAGUAACACGUGGAUAACCGACAUAUAAGACUGGGAUAACUUCGGGAAACCGGAUCUAAUACCGGAUAAUAUAUUGAACCGCAUGGUUCAUUAGUGAAAGACGGUUUUGCUGACACUUAUAGAUGGAUCCGCGCCGCAUUAGCUAGUUGGUAAGGUAACGGCUUACCAAGGCAACGAUGCGUAGCCGACCUGAGAGGAUGAUCAGCCACACUGGAACUGAGACACGGUCCAGACUCCUACGGGAGGCAGCAGUAGGGAAUAUUCCGCAAUGGGCGAAAGCCUGACGGAGCAACGCCGCGUGAGUGAUGAAGGUCUUCGGAUCGUAAAACUCUGUUAUUAGGGAAGAACAAAUGUGUAAGUAAAUAUGCACGUCUUGACGGUACCUAAUCAGAAAGCCACGGCUAACUACGUG
rnacentral:rRNA from 1 species